rnacentral:lncRNA from 1 species
CUCUCACUCGCACGGUCUCUUCCACUCGCGCUAUCUUUCUCUCUCUUGCUCUUUCUCUCUCCCUCUCUCUCUCACUUGCGCUGUCUCUCGCUUUCUCUCUCCCCCUCUCUCUCACUUGCGCUGUCUCUCGCUUUUGCUCUCUCUCUCUCUCACUUGCGCUGUCUCUCGCUCUCGCUUUCUCUCUCCCCCUCUCUCUCACUUGCGCUGUCUCUCGCUUUCGCUCUCUCUCUCUCUCACUUGCGCUGUCUCUCGCUCUCUCUCUCCCCCUCUCUCUCACUUGCGCUGUCUCUCGCUCUCCACCUCUCUCUCAAUUGCGCUGUCUCUCUCACUUGCGUUGUCUCUCGCUCUCGCUCACUUGCGCUGUCUCUCGCUCUCCCCCUCUCUCUCACUUGCGCUGUCUCUCUCUCACUCGCGCUGUCUCUCGCUUUCUCUCUCUCCCUCUCUCACUCGCGCUGUCUCUCUCUUUCUCUCUCUCCCUCUCUCUCUCACGCUUUCUCUCUCCCUCUCUCUGACUCGCGCUGUCUCUUGCUUUCUCUCACUCAGAUGCACUGUCUCUCGCUCGCUCACUCGCGCUGUCUCUCGCUUUCAAUCUCUCCCUCGCGCUGUCUCUUGCUUACUUGCGCUGUCUCUCGUGCUGUUGUGCUGUCUCUUGCUUUCUCUCUCUCUCACUCUCUCUCACUCGCGCUGUCUCUCGCUUUCUCUCUCUCUCCCUCUCUCACUCGCGCUGUCUCUCAUGCUCUGGCGCUGUCUCUUGCUUUCUCUCACUCAGAUGCACUGUCUCUUGCUCGCUCACUCGCGCUGUCUCUCGCUUUCUCUCUCUCUCCCCCUCUCUCUCACUUGCUCUGUCUCUUACUCCCUUGUGCUGUCUUUCGCUCCCUCUCUCUGUCUCUCCCUCUCUCUCACUUGCGCUGUCUUUCACUUUCUCACUCUCCCUCUCCCUCACUUGUGCUGUCUCUCACUUUCUCCCUCUCCUGUGCUGUCUCUCUUGCUCACUUGCACGGCCUUUCACUCCCUU